rnacentral:rRNA from 1 species
GAUGAACGCUGGCGGCGUGCCUAAUACAUGCAAGUCGAGCGAACAGAUAAGGAGCUUGCUCCUUUGAAGUUAGCGGCGGAUGGGUGAGUAACACGUGGGUAACCUACCUAUAAGACUGGGAUAACUUCGGGAAACCGGAGCUAAUACCGGAUAACAUUUAGAACCGCAUGGUUCUAAAGUGAAAGAUGGUUUUGCUAUCACUUAUAGAUGGACCCGCGCCGUAUUAGCUAGUUGGUAAGGUAACGGCUUACCAAGGCGACGAUACGUAGCCGACCUGAGAGGGUGAUCGGCCACACUGGAACUGAGACACGGUCCAGACUCCUACGGGAGGCAGCAGUAGGGAAUCUUCCGCAAUGGGCGAAAGCCUGACGGAGCAACGCCGCGUGAGUGAUGAAGGGUUUCGGCUCGUAAAACUCUGUUAUUAGGGAAGAACAAAUGUGUAAGUAACUGUGCACAUCUUGACGGUACCUAAUCAGAAAGCCACGGCUAACUACGUG